rnacentral:rRNA from 1 species
AUGGGCAAAGGCAAGUGGAGCACAAACUUGUCAAGCUGCGCCCACCUCAACGCCCAAGAACUUCAUUCUGGUUUCUUAAACCGUCUGUACACAAACCGUGACUACGAAGCCGGUUUAGUGAAUCUGAUGAAGGAGCGAUAUGAGGCUGAGCUGAGCAAAAAGGAAGCCCAAACCGCUGACCUUCAACAAAAUAUCAAAACCCAGCAAGCAGAGACCUCCAAAGCCAAAGAAGAAUUGACCAGUGCGUUAGCAGCUAUGGAGAAGCUGAAGGAAACUUUGAAGAAGGAACAGGCAGACUGGGGCAUAGAGAAAGCCGCUUUACAAAAGAGAGCCGAAGACGCAGAGGCAACCCUUAAACCGGUGGUCGAAGAGCUGACCAGUUUAAAGCGGCAGAUCAAUGCCAUGACCUCUGCUGUUUUUGGAACUCGCAUUACCCAUCUAGUCUUUGACAUGCGGAUGAAGCUGAAGGCUGCCUAUACACUGAUUGAGCAGUUAUAUUCCGGAGCUCAACAGGCCAUUUGCACCGCUACGCAUAAUAAACCGCCUCCAACCUUACUAAAAGAGACCAUUGAGAAGCUGUCUAUGCUGCCCGCCCGGUUGGAUGAACUAAAAAGAUCAGCAGCCAGGUCAGGUGCGCUGACCGCACUAAUCCGGGCGAAGGCAUGGAUACCAGAUCUUGAACCGUCAGAUAUAGGCAGCGGCUACCCUGGCGUGAAGGAGGACGGCUCAGAAUUUAACAAUGACGAUCUUCGAAGGUUGACAAGGGAAGUGCGCCCCAUAGCGAGCAAAUUGGCUGAUGAAACAGAUCUCUCUCAUUAUCAGCCGGUUUAUGAUUCUGAUCAGGAAAGAUAUCCUGCGCCAACACAUGAUGUAGAAGAUCUUGUUCCGACAAUCCGUAAGCACACCUAUGCCCCUGAUGUUGACCCCUCAAACCUUAUAAGUGAUGAAACUGUAUUUCAAGCCUUAACUGGAAUCGAUUGGGAAACCAUUGACUUCCAGCCACUGGGUAGAGAGGAGGAAGAUGCACCAGCGCAGGACGAUCCACAACCGUCAACUCAGCCUGGUGACGAGUCAUGA